rnacentral:rRNA from 1 species
AGAGUUUGAUCCUGGCUCAGGACGAACGCUGGCGGCGCGCCUAACACAUGCAAGUCGAACGAGAGAUGAAGAGCUUGCUCUUCAAAUCGAGUGGCGAACGGGUGAGUAACGCGUGAGGAACCUGCCUCAAAGAGGGGGACAACAGUUGGAAACGACUGCUAAUACCGCAUAAGCCCACAGCUCGGCAUCGAGCAGAGGGAAAAGGAGUAAUCCGCUUUGAGAUGGCCUCGCGUCCGAUUAGCUAGUUGGUGAGGUAAUGGCCCACAAGGCGACGAUCGGUAGCCGGACUGAGAGGUUGAACGGCCACAUUGGGACUGAGACACGGCCCAGACCUCCGUACGGGAGGGA